AGCGUACACGGUGGAUGCCCUGGCAGUCAGAGGCGAUGAAGGACGUGCUAAUCUGCGAUAAGCGUCGGUAAGGUGAUAUGAACCGUUAUAACCGGCGAUUUCCGAAUGGGGAAACCCAGUGUGUUUCGACACACUAUCAUUAACUGAAUCCAUAGGUUAAUGAGGCGAACCGGGGGAACUGAAACAUCUAAGUACCCCGAGGAAAAGAAAUCAACCGAGAUUCCCCCAGUAGCGGCGAGCGAACGGGGAGCAGCCCAGAGCCUGAAUCAGUGUGUGUGUUAGUGGAAGCGUCUGGAAAGGCGCGCGAUACAGGGUGACAGCCCCGUACACAAAAAUGCACAUACUGUGAGCUCGAUGAGUAGGGCGGGACACGUGGUAUCCUGUCUGAAUAUGGGGGGACCAUCCUCCAAGGCUAAAUACUCCUGACUGACCGAUAGUGAACCAGUACCGUGAGGGAAAGGCGAAAAGAACCCCGGCGAGGGGAGUGAAAAAGAACCUGAAACCGUGUACGUACAAGCAGUGGGAGCCUCUUAAUGGGGUGACUGCGUACCUUUUGUAUAAUGGGUCAGCGACUUAUAUUCUGUAGCAAGGUUAACCGAAUAGGGGAGCCGAAGGGAAACCGAGUCUUAACUGGGCGUUAAGUUGCAGGGUAUAGACCCGAAACCCGGUGAUCUAGCCAUGGGCAGGUUGAAGGUUGGGUAACACUAACUGGAGGACCGAACCGACUAAUGUUGAAAAAUUAGCGGAUGACUUGUGGCUGGGGGUGAAAGGCCAAUCAAACCGGGAGAUAGCUGGUUCUCCCCGAAAGCUAUUUAGGUAGCGCCUCGUGAAUUCAUCUCCGGGGGUAGAGCACUGUUUCGGCAAGGGGGUCAUCCCGACUUACCAACCCGAUGCAAACUGCGAAUACCGGAGAAUGUUAUCACGGGAGACACACGGCGGGUGCUAACGUCCGUCGUGAAGAGGGAAACAACCCAGACCGCCAGCUAAGGUCCCAAAGUCAUGGUUAAGUGGGAAACGAUGUGGGAAGGCCCAGACAGCCAGGAUGUUGGCUUAGAAGCAGCCAUCAUUUAAAGAAAGCGUAAUAGCUCACUGGUCGAGUCGGCCUGCGCGGAAGAUGUAACGGGGCUAAACCAUGCACCGAAGCUGCGGCAGCGACGUUUAUGCGUUGUUGGGUAGGGGAGCGUUCUGUAAGCCUGUGAAGGUGUACUGUGAGGUAUGCUGGAGGUAUCAGAAGUGCGAAUGCUGACAUAAGUAACGAUAAAGCGGGUGAAAAGCCCGCUCGCCGGAAGACCAAGGGUUCCUGUCCAACGUUAAUCGGGGCAGGGUGAGUCGACCCCUAAGGCGAGGCCGAAAGGCGUAGUCGAUGGGAAACAGGUUAAUAUUCCUGUACUUGGUGUUACUGCGAAGGGGGGACGGAGAAGGCUAUGUUGGCCGGGCGACGGUUGUCCCGGUUUAAGCGUGUAGGCUGAUUUUCCAGGCAAAUCCGGAAAAUCAAGGCUGAGGCGUGAUGACGAGGCACUACGGUGCUGAAGCAACAAAUGCCCUGCUUCCAGGAAAAGCCUCUAAGCAUCAGGUAACAUCAAAUCGUACCCCAAACCGACACAGGUGGUCAGGUAGAGAAUACCAAGGCGCUUGAGAGAACUCGGGUGAAGGAACUAGGCAAAAUGGUGCCGUAACUUCGGGAGAAGGCACGCUGAUAUGUAGGUGAAGUCCCUCGCGGAUGGAGCUGAAAUCAGUCGAAGAUACCAGCUGGCUGCAACUGUUUAUUAAAAACACAGCACUGUGCAAACACGAAAGUGGACGUAUACGGUGUGACGCCUGCCCGGUGCCGGAAGGUUAAUUGAUGGGGUUAGCGGUAACGCGAAGCUCUUGAUCGAAGCCCCGGUAAACGGCGGCCGUAACUAUAACGGUCCUAAGGUAGCGAAAUUCCUUGUCGGGUAAGUUCCGACCUGCACGAAUGGCGUAAUGAUGGCCAGGCUGUCUCCACCCGAGACUCAGUGAAAUUGAACUCGCUGUGAAGAUGCAGUGUACCCGCGGCAAGACGGAAAGACCCCGUGAACCUUUACUAUAGCUUGACACUGAACAUUGAGCCUUGAUGUGUAGGAUAGGUGGGAGGCUUUGAAGUGUGGACGCCAGUCUGCAUGGAGCCGGCCUUGAAAUACCACCCUUUAAUGUUUGAUGUUCUAACGUUGGCCCCUGAUCGGGGUUGCGGACAGUGUCUGGUGGGUAGUUUGACUGGGGCGGUCUCCUCCUAAAGAGUAACGGAGGAGCACGAAGGUUGGCUAAUCCUGGUCGGACAUCAGGAGGUUAGUGCAAUGGCAUAAGCCAGCUUGACUGCGAGCGUGACGGCGCGAGCAGGUGCGAAAGCAGGUCAUAGUGAUCCGGUGGUUCUGAAUGGAAGGGCCAUCGCUCAACGGAUAAAAGGUACUCCGGGGAUAACAGGCUGAUACCGCCCAAGAGUUCAUAUCGACGGCGGUGUUUGGCACCUCGAUGUCGGCUCAUCACAUCCUGGGGCUGAAGUAGGUCCCAAGGGUAUGGCUGUUCGCCAUUUAAAGUGGUACGCGAGCUGGGUUUAGAACGUCGUGAGACAGUUCGGUCCCUAUCUGCCGUGGGCGCUGGAGAACUGAGGGGGGCUGCUCCUAGUACGAGAGGACCGGAGUGGACGCAUCACUGGUGUUCGGGUUGUCAUGCCAAUGGCACUGCCCGGUAGCUAAAUGCGGAAGAGAUAAGUGCUGAAAGCAUCUAAGCACGAAACUUGCCCCGAGAUGAGUUCU
rnacentral:rRNA from 1 species